GCGGCAGGGCAGGUGCUGGGGACACAGAGGGACUCGGGUGGGCCCAGGCGGUGCCCUCAAGCUGCUCACAGUCUGCUGCGGGAGGCGGACGCUGACAAAACCCACAUCGUGGAAAGAUCUCCCACUGUCUUAUGUACCACGUACCAUGAAGGAAGCAAACCGGCGGCCACACGGGCUGCAGAGACGCUAGGGUCCCCGUGGAUGAAAAAGCCAGGCCCACAGAUCGCAGGUGAUCACCGACUGGGCUAAAGCGCACACGUGGAGAAGCUGGAGAAGUUGAACGAACGGGGCCGCCUCAUUAGGCAAGAGGCCGGGGGAGGCCACUCCCAGGGCAGGACUGGCAAGGCCUGGAUAGAGACGUGAGCGGCACGGAAGAGCGCGGGCCAGGCGAGGAGGAAGGGAACCAGGGAACCGUGAGCUCCGCCGGGCCCCGGCUUCCCCCCGCCAGCUGCCCCGCAGGCCUUUCCUUGGCCCCUCGGGCUCCCCUUGCUGCCCACGCCACUUGUCGGCUUUGUCCUGCUUGCCUUGGCCUCCGCUCUGCCCACUCCCUGGAGCGCCCUCUCGGGGACUUCCUCCAGGCCGAGGCCUGGCCCUUGCUCCGCCCGAGCUCUGUCCGGGGGCCCUGGGGCGCCCGCAUCCCUCCUAUGCAUGGGGAGAAGCCCCGACCUCCCGACCUUCCGUGCUGUGCGGGAUGGGGAGGUGAGAGCACCGCGGUGACGCUGACGGUGACUGGGGAUCAGCGGCAUCAGGACAGGGAUUGGAGAAGUGAGAGAAGCUGAGGGGACUUUCUGGCGAGGCAGGUAUGUAUGUCGGGCCAGGUGUGCACAGGCAGCCAAUCCGCAGGUUGGUGCCUGUGAUGCAGGGAGACCUCGCAGGGCACGCUGGGCCAUCACGAGGAGGGGCACACAUACGGAAGACAGGCGGGACAGGUUUCCAGUGACUGUGACUCUGCUCCACCCCAUUCAGGGGCCCCCAGACCCAGAGGACCAUGGGGAUCUUGGAGGGCAGUGAUCUCUAAGACCAAGAAUCCAGAGAUGGGACAGAAAGUCCAUUAGGAGGCCCUCCUGUUCCGGCUGGGGGCUGGAGGUCUGCCCCUCCCUGAAGAUGCUGCCCAAGCAGUGGCCAGUGGGGGAAGCUGAGUCUGUCUUUCAGGGGGCUGGCUGACUCCCAAGGUCAUGUCCUCUGAACAUCUGCUCUCUGCCCUCUCAGCAGCGCUGACCCCCAACCACUAGCCCGUGGGCCUUCAUUCCUGGGCACCCAGGACAAAGCCUGGGGCUGAAGGGUUCCUAGUAAUGUUCACGGCCCGCCAAUGGGGCCACUCUGUUCCCCACAAGAAUCAGGCCAACCCUUCCCCUAGCUUCAGCCCAGAACAGGCCCAAACAGGACCAAAGCUGGUUCAUCCUGGGGUGACAACAGUCUAACCAUGGUGAGUCCCACUGCCGCGGCUUCAAGCUAUACAAAGCACUCUCCUCUUGUCACCUCAUUGGACCAUCACCAUAGCCCUCCAAGGUCUGUGAUGACCCCACGAAGAUAAGAAAACUGAGGAACAGAGAUAAUGUCCAGGGUCACCAGUGGCCCCUUGCCUCCUCCUCCCAGCUCCAGCCAACACCUCUUGAUCUCCAAGCCCCAGGCUCUUUCAUGUCAUAGGCCCUGGGAGCAAAGGUAGACGGAGCUUCUGGUAUCUGCCCAGAACAUUCCUCUGGACCCUCCAAGACCUCGCUCAGGAGCCACCUCUUCUGGAAAGCCGUCCUUGGAUGAGCCGGUGUUAUGGGCUCAUGUGGUGACUGAGUCUGUUUCCACAAGAUCCUGCUAAGCCGUCACUGUCUAGGUGACCAUCCCUCCUGCUGGAUUUCCAGCUCGGCCAGGGCAAGGUCCAGCACGGCGAUUCACCUUUGGUCUCUGGUGCCUCUAAAGUGACCAGCGCACAGUGGAUCUCCAUCAAUAUUCCCUGAACUCUGUGCAGCCACCAGGCACGGCUGAGCAAGUUACGGUACAUCAGCUCGGUGGAAUAUCAUGCAACCAUUAGAACCGCAAUUAUGAAGAUGAUAUUUGGAGAUCUAACUGCAACAUAUACAGCUAUAGCCAUCCCAUCCAGUCCACUCUGAGGCAGUGAGUGGAAGGGGUCCCUCCUCCAAAUGAUUCGGUUUAGAAGAGGGGUGCAUAAUUCCUGAGCAACAUGCUCAGUGCCCUGAUGGAGGGACGACAGAGCCCCAGGGCUCCCCAUCCAUCUGGGGGUCUGGGGUGGUGGAACAGAAACCACAGCUCUGUAAAAAUUACAGCCGACCGUGCACGGACAAGCCUGGAAGGGAGCAGAGGAACGGGGGCUGUUGACGCCACAGGGUGGUGGCAUUGUGGAUGAUUUUUCUUCCCCUUAUUGUUGGUUUAAUGUUGUUUGGGCAAUAAAUAAAAAUUGGGAGAAAAAA